GGGCGGUUAGCUCAGUGGUAGAGCGUUACAUUGACAUUGUAAAGGUCAUAGGUUCGAUCCCUAUACCGCCCA
rnacentral:tRNA from 1 species